CCUACGGGUGGCAGCAGUGAGGAAUAUUGGUCAAUGGGCGUAAGCCUGAACCAGCCAAGUCGCGUGAGGGAUGAAGGUCCUAUGGAUCGUAAACCCUUUUUAUAAGGGAAUAAAGUGCGGGACGUGUCCCGUUUUGUAUGUACCUUACGAACAAGGAUCGGCUAACCCCGUGCCAGCAGCCGCGGUAAUACGGAGGGUCCGAGCGUUAUCCGGAUUUAUUGGGUUUAAAGGGUGCGUAGGCGGCCUUUUAAGUCAGCGGUGAAAGUCUGUGGCUCAACCAUGGAAUUGCCGUGGAAACUGGGAGGCUGGAGUGUGUUAGAGGCAGGCGGAAUGCGUGGUGUAGCGGUGAAAUGCGUAGAUAUCGCGCGGAACCCCGGUGGCGAAGGCGGCCUGCCAGGCCAUGACUGACGCUGAUGCGCGAAAGCGUGGGGAUCAAACAGGAUUAGAUACCCCUGUAGUC
rnacentral:rRNA from 1 species